rnacentral:lncRNA from 1 species
AUUUGUAAUAUUUCAGGCAUUGUCAAAGAUGAGAGUGCUGGAGACACUAGGUGUUGUAGUUUUGGUGACUCUAACACAGAUACUGACCUCUCAGGCACAAGAAUGCGCAAUCGUUUCUAUAAGCUCUCCUACGGCUUCAUCACUGCUGGUUCAAUGGACAAGACUCCAGGGAAUAACAAAUUAUUUUUUGGAUCUUCGGGUUGUGAACGACUCAAACACCAGUCCAGUUGUAGCAUCCGUCCCCGGGAGUAUGUCGAUGAGAGAGGUCUUUGGUUUGAGGACGGGGACAUGGUACAGAGUCGUACUCAAAGCAUUUGUUAAUUAUUCUCCUGUGUGUUCGGAUGCAAGAUUAGGACUAACAGCACCAGGGACAUCCCAAAUAUUCUAUUCAAAAGCGCUAUCAAGUACAGCCAUCUCGCUAGAAUGGGAUCGGGUACCAACGGCACAACAAUACUUUUUGCUGAUAAAUUCAACAGUGACUGGGGAACGGUACAACUUGUCUUUAACAAACAAUAGUGUAGUGGUUGGAAAUCUUCGACCAGCUACUCUGUAUGACUGUUACGUGGUCACGUCUAAUGCUGGAGGUCUUGGAGCAAGAAGCAGAGUACGCACCGUCAAUACAUGUAAGUAAAGAUUACCACAUUGUUUUGAUCAGUCUGAAAAAAAUCUAAUCGAAAGUCUUUACGCAGAUAAAUGUUAAUGUUAAUGUCUUGACUCUCAGUGAUACAGCCUCCAG